rnacentral:rRNA from 1 species
UAGGAACCGGGAGAGGUGAGGGGUACUUCGGGGGUAGGAGUGAAAUCCUGUAAUCCUCGAGGGGCCACCUGUGGCGAAGGCGCCUCACCAGAACGGCUUCGACAGUGAGGGACGAAAGCUGGGGGAGCAAACCGGAUUAGAUACCCGGGUAGUCCCAGCCGUAAACGAUG